rnacentral:rRNA from 1 species
CAGCACCUCAAGUGGUCAGGAUGAUUAUUGGGCCUAAAGCAUCCGUAGCCGGUUCUACAAGUCUUCCGUUAAAUCCACCUGCUUAACAGAUGGGCCGCGGAGGAUACUAUAAGACUAGGAGGCAGGAGAGGCAAGCGGUACUCAGUGGGUAGGGGUAAAAUCCGUUGAUCCAUUGAAGACCACCAGUGGCGAAGGCGGCUUGCCAGAAUGCGCUCGACGGUGAGGGAUGAAAGUUGGGGGAGCAAACCGGAUUAGAUACCCGAGUAGUCC